rnacentral:rRNA from 1 species
GUAUAACAGAACCUCCGAGUGAUUUUAACCAAGACUUACCCGUCAAGGUUACGUAACUUAUUGAUCCAAUCAUAUUGAUCAACGAAACA